CAAGUAUGACAAGCUUGUACAAGUUUCCAGCGCUCGGGCGCGCGGCACUACCACCCAUAUAUCAUACAGGCGGGCUUUUUUAACAUCCGGCGCGAAGGGGUUAAGAGGAGGAGGGUGGGGAGGACAAGUCAUCAUCUAUGAAACUGUCUUGUAACUUUUCUUCUGGUGUGAUUCCUGUGAAUCCACUAAUGGAGUGCUGUGGCUCACUAACACUUACACUCUCACUAGAUUCCUUAUUUUCCUCAUUAAUAAGCUUCUUAGGAGCUAUCAUAAGUUUCUAAAUGAAAAACUACCGACAACGCAGAAGAAUGUUGUUCUUCCCAAGACUGCGGAUGUGCACCGGCAUCACGGUAAUACCAGUAUUGCCAAUAAUACGGUAUCAGAAGGGAGAUGACAGAGCUUUGUAUACAACCAAAUGUGCGGCUGUUUGAUUAUCAAAUAUUUUCACCAUUAAUAAUAAGUCUUUGGUGUUAGCUUAUAAAUGAAAAACUAUAGAUAUAAUGCAGAAGAAUGUUAAUCUGAUGACCACGGCAGCACAAAUCACAACUGGCAGAGGGGGAAGAUGGACACCAGGGAGCCUUUGUUUACUGCCACACGUGUGGACGUUUGACUAUCGGGUAUUUCUUUUAGUAUUAAAUCGAUCUUUUACGUUCGAGUAUUGAGUCUCCACUGUAUAUUUAAGUUAAUAUACAAUGACAAAUAGUACAGUGAGCAUUUCAUUUUCUUACUGCAAGUGUGCACAUUAUGUGUGAGAAUGCCUUUUUCUUUAGAAGCCCUUAAUUUUGUAUUUUAAAUAUUAAUGGUUUUGGAUUAAUAUAGUAUGCAGCCCUACAAGAUUGUGAUAAAUAUUUUUAAUGUGGCCAUAUCACUGAAAAGUUUGCCCACCCCUGAUAUAUUCACUCUGCUUAUGAAUAAUUUUACAAAUAAUUUUCACACAACAGGCACUAGGAUACAUAAUGACUCCUAUGCUCAAACCACACACCUCAUCAAUAGCCUCUAUCAACACUAGUUUACUAAACACUGAACUUUAUGAAUACCUAACCAUAAAUCUUCUAAGACUUAUGACACACUCCCAUAAAAAAAAAAAAAAAUGAAACUCAUCUGCUUGAAAAAAAGCAAUUUUUAACACAAAUACACAAAUGAAAAGAUAUGAUGAGAAAGCAAGGUAGAGCAACACUGUGCCUUUUGUGCUUUGAAAAGAAAAUGUGUCUGCUUAUUUUGUCAAUGUAAUUCUCACAUGCCAAUAAUUAAGUAUGGUAUUCUUUUGCCUACACUUAUAUUUAUCCCUCUUUUAGGAAUUCUGGUUUUACUGCAUGACUGAAACCAAUAACUCUGCACAAUAUUAGAAGGUUUUAUCACCAAGGCACAGGAAUCAUUAGGAAACAAGACAAGAAAAUGUAAUAAACAAAAUUUUUAAAAGCUGCAAAAGGAUAUCAAAAUCACAAAAUGUAAUUUCAAGUCUGUAGUGAAGGGUUACAAUGUCUGAUGGCAUUCAAGUGAAAUACAACCAAAGAAAUUAAUGAAUGUGUGAUACGGAAAGGAGGUUCUACUUUAAAUGAUGGAGAAGAAUAAAAUAACACUUUCAUCCGAAAGAUGCCUGUACCACACAAACUUGAUCCAUUAACAAGUAACUCGGUUCAAGCAACAUGUAAAGAAAAUUUUUGCAAAAAUCAGUUUCACAAUCUUAAUUCCUGCCAACAUGGAAUUAAAUAGAUAUUUACCCUUGGUAUGUGAUGGAUUAUUUUGUAAGACUCCAUUUUACAUGGAUAAAAAGAAUUGAAGUUAAUAAUUCCCAAUGUGACUAUGUACAAUGAAAGAUCUAAAUGAGUAUACAUGUCUUUUAGGAACUAAAUUUCAGACAUAUUUUAGCACCACUGUACUUAGGUAAUUUUUUUUUUCAAAGCAACCCAUAUGAAUAUAAGAGAACUGUAUGACUUAAGUAUAUAAGUUAUGGCAGGGGGAUGACAUGACCUCAAAAUAAAAUCAUGGAAAGUAAUCACACAAACUGGCUAAGAAUUAUGUACAUAAAUUACCAUAAAACUCAUGCUGGAAACACAACACAACAUGCAAACAAUGAAGCUUUACGAACACAAACAACGGAGAAAGUUCCAGGUAGCUCCCAGGGGGUCAUAUCAUGAGGAUAAUUGGGAUGCUCUUAAAGAAAUAGAUAGCUUCACAAAAUCAAGAUCAAGACCAAUGUAUAUUUCUCUCUCUCUCUCUCUCUCUCUCUCUCUCUCUCUCUCUCUCUCUCUCUCUCUCUCUCUCUCUCUC